CCUACGGGAGGCAGCAGUGGGGAAUAUUGGACAAUGGGCGAGAGCCUGAACCAGCCAAGUAGCGUGCAGGAUGACUGCCCUAUGGGUUGUAAACUGCUUUUAUAGGGGAAUAAAGUGAGGAACGUGUUCCUUUUUGUAUGUACCCUAUGAAUAAGGACCGGCUAAUUCCGUGCCAGCAGCCGCGGUAAU
rnacentral:rRNA from 1 species